GCAGUAGCCGCGGUAAUACGGAGGGUGCAAGCGUUAAUCGGAAUUACUGGGCGUAAAGCGCACGCAGGCGGUCUGACAAGUCAGAUGUGAAAUCCCCGGGCUUAACCUGGGAACUGCAUUUGAAACUGUCAGGCUGGAGUCUUGUAGAGGGGGGUGGAAUUCCAGGUGUAGCGGUGAAAUGCGUAGAGAUCUGGAGGAAUACCGGUGGCGAAGGCGGCCCCCUGGACAAAGACUGACGCUCAGGUGCGAAAGCGUGGGGAGCAAACAGGAUUAGAUACCCCUGUAGUCCCUGUCUCUUAUAA
rnacentral:rRNA from 1 species